rnacentral:rRNA from 1 species
GAAUUCCCCCUUAGAGUUUGAUCCUGGCUCAAGACGAACGCUGGCGGCGUGCUUAACACAUGCAAGUCGAACGAAGCACUUCAGUGGCGAUCUUCGGAUCAAAACUGAUUUGACUGAGUGGCGGACGGGUGAGUAACGCGUGAGCAACCUGCCCAUAAGAGGGGGAUAACAGUUGGAAACGACUGCUAAUACCGCAUAAGACCACAUUACCGCAUGGUAAAGGGGUCAAAGAAAUUCGCUUAUGGAUGGGCUCGCGUCCCAUUAGGUAGUUGGUAGGGUAACGGCCUACCAAGCCGACGAUGGGUAGCCGACCUGAGAGGGUGAUCGGCCACACUGGAACUGAGACACGGUCCAGACUCCUACGGGAGGCAGCAGUGGGGAAUAUUGGGCAAUGGGCGCAAGCCUGACCCAGCAACGCCGCGUGAGGGAAGAAGGCCUUCGGGUUGUAAACCUCUGUCCUAUGGGAAGAACACAAUGACGGUACCAUAGGAGGAAGCUCCGGCUAACUACGUGCCAGCAGCCGCGGUAAUACGUAGGGAGCAAGCGUUGUCCGGAAUUACUGGGCGUAAAGGGUGCGUAGGCGGUUGCUUAAGUCAGAAGUGAAAUAUCCGGGCUCAACCCGGGGGCUGCUUCUGAUACUGAUGGGCUUGAGUGCAGGAGAGGAAAGCGGAAUUACCGGUGUAGCGGUGAAAUGCGUAGAGAUCGGUAGGAACACCAGUGGCGAAGGCGGCUUUCUGGACUGAAACUGACGCUGAGGCGCGAAAGCGUGGGGAGCAAACAAGAUAAGAUACCCUGGUAGUCCACGCGGUAAACGAUGAACCCUAAGGGUGGAGGUAUCGACCCCUUCAGUGCCGGAGUAAACACAAUAAGCAUUCCCCCCUGGGGAGUA